AUGAAGCCGGCGUUGACCUUAUUUUACUCUCUAUCUAUUGCUCAGAGCCUAGUAUGCGUUUGGAGUAUAAUAGCUGGAGCUUUUGCUGAGAUGAUGAUUUUCGGUUUUCUUAGCGAACAACAUGGCAUCAGCCCCAAAAUACUUAGUGGAUACUUGGAAAAAACCAAGCAGAUGUGUGUAAACAGUCCCGCGUCCACAAUGAGCUGGAAUAUGAUCACAUAUGGUGCUGACUUGCUGGAUUCCCAAUUACCAGAGGACUAUGCAUCCGGAGGAAGGGUACUAACUAUGCUGAUUGAUCAAGAAACACCGUUGGCGAUAACAUGGCUGCUGAUUAGGUCACCGAGACAAAGAAUUCAGAAGCUGAUCAGAACCCUUGCCUGGAGAAGCCCACAAGACCAAGAGAUGAGAUGUCUUGCAGCGAGGCUUGUGGAGCAUCUAGCUGGUGACCUGAACCUUGCUCACUUUCCAGGAGCAUUGGAAUGCGUAGCUUCCCUCUUCGACACCUCCUGUAAUAACAAUGCUGAUAAACAAGCUCUCCAUUUGACAUUAGCAAUUGACCAUGGCAAGCAGAGAGACAGGACGCGCUCCCUAACCCAAAAGCUUCCUGGUAGCCCCCGGAAAGAUAAAGAUGGUAACAAUUCUGGUUUUGACAGGCUUGAGGAUUCUAGAGAACCUGGCUCACGACAGACAUAA
rnacentral:rRNA from 1 species